rnacentral:rRNA from 1 species
CAGCAGCCGCGGGAAUACGAAGGGGGCUAGCGUUGUUCGGAUUUACUGGGCGUAAAGCGCACGUAGGCGGACUUUUAAGUCAGGGGUGAAAUCCCGGGGCUCAACCCCGGAACUGCCUUUGAUACUGGAAGUCUUGAGUAUGGUAGAGGUGAGUGGAAUUCCGAGUGUAGAGGUGAAAUUCGUAGAUAUUCGGAGGAACACCAGUGGCGAAGGCGGCUCACUGGACCAUUACUGACGCUGAGGUGCGAAAGCGUGGGGAGCAAACAUGAUUAGAUACCCCAGUAGUCCCUGUCUCUUAUAC